UUGUUUUUGUUCUUCUUUGUUCUUCCAGUUUAGGAUUUUAUUGUUAAUCUAUUUGUUGUUUGUUUUGCAUUAACUUUGCGGCAGCGGGAGCUGGGCACUAAUGUCGAUAAGUUUCUGGAAUUUGGUGGCCCUGAUAAUGAACUCAUGCAAGGUAUAGGCAUCAUUAAAUCCAGUUUUUCGGUAUUCUUGGUUUUUUUAUUAAUUGAUUUUGUUGUGAAGAUGUUGAUGCUACCUUCAGUAAACAGGCCGGGUUAAAGGUUUAUAUUAUUUAUGUUAAACUGAAAUAUCCGUUGUUCUUAACGAGUAUAUAUAUUUUAUGCUUUUUUGUGGGGGUAUUUUUUGUUGGCUUUGCUUUGUAGAUGUUGAUGAUGCCUCCUCUCAGUGAAGAGGCGGAGUUUAAAGAAAAAAUUGUCUAUGCAACCAUGUCUACGGUAUAAUUAGGGUUUGAUUUUCUCCCUUUUUUACCCAUUGACCGAAAUAAACGUGUUUUGCCUAAUCUGACGGUUCUAAAUGGACAUUUUAAGGCGAUCAAUGACCCGUAUUUAUUUAAAAGUGCAGAAACGAGUAAGUAAUAAAUCAUGGGUCAAAAUGCUUCCCACUUUUAUGCGCUCAUCCAACGGUGCAGAUACAAUUUUGACUUCUUCUCCCUUAAUAUUCCAUGUGUUACUCUGUAGUUGUACAUUGAUGAGACCCGUUACGCUUCAAAAAAAUAACGUAAAGUUAAAUAGCAAAACUCAAUUUAAACCAAGCCAUUUUUUAGCAGCAUCAUUAGGUUUGGGAUUGAGAGAAGAGGGAGGCAAAGAGUUUUAGUCACUGCUUAAUUUUUUUUAUUUUUUCAGUCCUUCCUUCAGCUUCUCAUCAAAAAGCCGCACCCUGUCAAGAUCCCUGUUGGAGAUAGACAUAAUUCUGUGUUACAGGGCAUUUUGUGAGACAGGAUGGUUUCAAUCUGUCAAUACAAUUUCAAUUGAUUUGAUUUGGAUUAGGGCUUUAUUUGUAUAUCAACUGUUUGCUGCAAGAACUAAACCAUUCAACAAAAUGGUCCAUGUCUAAAUCUUCUUAAUUUGGCUGCAGAGAAAUGUCGAUGAGAAUCAGCACUCAAUUCUAUGGUUAUUGUGGAUGCAUGAUAAUCAAAAUUCUUGAACUUUAUAAUUCUGCUUGCAGAAGCCAGAAAACCAUUGUUUGUAUGCGUUUAGUUCAUUCAAAAUAUUCUUGCUGAAGCAUUAUCUUUUGGUGUAAGAUUUAAUCUGGAGCAUCAGUAUUCAUUCAAAGUAUUUCGAACAUCAGUGUUUUAUCCAUCUGAAGUUUGUUAAUCAUAGAGUAAAGCCCCAAUUUAAGCAAACAACCCCAAAUUGUAGGUAUAACCAGGCCCACAAUUCAAUUAUUGGAUGAGCUUCAAAAGACCAUUAUGGGAUCUUCAUCAUGGAACUUAGGAUCCACCAUUUUCAUGGAGUGCAGGUAGAUAGAUAGAUCUACGGUAAAUACACGGGUUUGAGCUCCAGAGCACAAUGAACACUUCUAACUUGAAUAUUUGAUUAUUUGCUUGGUUAUAUGAAGCCGUAUGGGAUUAUAUUACAUGCAAUGGAUGCAAUAGCAAAAUUAUUCGUGAGAACACCUACUACUCAUUGUAUGUGAAUGCAACAUUUAUUGGCAUCACAAAAACCACAGUACAAAAACCAGAAGAGGUCAUUGUAGUCUUUGACAGUAACAUAGAGUGAUGUUCAAAAGAGUGUCAUAGGCAGUACAUAGCGAUCACUUUGAUGUGUUGAUUCCGAAAGUGCGACAGUGGAACUAAGUCGACUGUUGUGAUAUUUAUUUCAUUUUAGUUCUUAAUGGUUAGGCUAUGUUAUAAUAACCAUUGGUUUUCGACUUCCAAGUGGUAAUUUUACCCAGAAUAAUAUUAUGAGAUAAAAUCAGGUUCUCAGAGAAAAAAUUAAAUAACUAAACUAUUAUGACCAUAUUAGAGAGUAUAUAUGUAAUGCUCCAAGUAAAGCUAUUAUGGCCAAAUUAUUCGCUAAUGCUGCAGAAGCCUACUCUAACUCAAAACAUAUGUGAAUCUUUAUCUCUGGAUCACAUUUGGUUUUACGCCUUCGCUUUUUAUCCACCAAGUCUCGAACUCUAAAUAAGGAUUUAUCUGUUGUAUAGGUUUUAAAUGCCUGGUUCUUCCAAUUCAGUGCUUUCUAGAUUAGUAAUUUAUAGUGUUUGAACAUAAUGUCUAUCAUUUUUAGUAAACAUGAAGGACAUCCGAAUGGAAUAGCCUUUCGUUCCAAGAAAGAGGUGUCGUGGUCGUAUAUGCCUGACAGUCAAUUGACUAGGAAAGUAAGGACUAAUUUGAUUUGGUUUGAUUUUCCAGUUUACAAUUAAAUCCAGGUGUUGAUGACAUUGACGACCUUUGUUUUAUAAAUAAAUAGUG